UACGGGGGGGGCAAGCGUUGUUCGGAAUUACUGGGCGUAAAGGGUGCGCAGGCGGCCAAGUGUGUGAGGCGUGAAAGCCCGGGGCUUAACCCCGGAAUUGCACCUCAAACUACUUGGCUAGAGCAUUGGAGAGGGUAGCAGAAUUCAUGGUGUAGCAGUGAAAUGCGUAGAUAUCAUGAGGAAUACCAGAGGCGAAGGCGGCUACCUGGACAAUUGCUGACGCUCAGGCACGAAAGCGUGGGGAGCAAAAGGG
rnacentral:rRNA from 1 species